CUAAAGCAUGGGACGUGUGUGAACAGGUAAGUACAGACACAUGGUGGUCUAAAGCAUGGGACAGGUGGGUGAACAGGUAAGUACAGACACGUGGUCUAAAGCAUGGGACAGGUGGGUGAACAGGUAAAUACAGACACAUGGUGGUCUAAAGCAUGGGACAGGUGUGUAAACGGGUAAGUACAGACACAUGGUGGUCUAAAGCAUGGGACAGGUGUGUAAACGGGUAAGUACAGACACAUGGUGGUCUAAAGCAUGGGACAGGUGUGUAAACGGGUAAGUACAGACACAUGGUGGUCUAAAGCAUGGGACAGGUGUGUAAAUGGGUAAGUACAGACGAGUGGUGCUCUAAAGCAUGGGACAGGUGUGUGAACAGG